rnacentral:rRNA from 1 species
UGGGGAAUAUUGCACAAUGGGCGCAAGCCUGAUGCAGCCAUGCCGCGUGUAUGAAGAAGGCCUUCGGGUUGUAAAGUACUUUCAGCGGGGAGGAAGGGAGUAAAUUUAAUACCUUUGCUCAUUGACGUUACCCGCAGAAGAAGCACCGGCUAACUCCGUGCCAGCAGCCGCGGUAAUACGGAGGGUGCAAGCGUUAAUCGGAAUUACUGGGCGUAAAGCGCACGCAGGCGGUUUGUUAAGUCAGAUGUGAAAUCCCCGGGCUCAACCUGGGAACUGCAUCUGAUACUGGCAAGCUUGAGUCUCGUAGAGGGGGGUAGAAUUACAGGUGUAGCGGUGAAAUGCGUAGAGAUCGGGAGGAAUACCGGUGGCGAAGGCGGCCCCCUGGACGAAGACUGACGCUCAGGUGAGAAAGCGUGGGGAGCAAACAGG